UUCUUGGCAGGAAGCAAGAGGAAACCAAGACAAAUGGAAAUGUAGGUUGUUAUUUGACUGUUUGACAGGAGCUCUCAUCUCUUAUUUUUCAGAUGUAAUGAAUUGAUAUGAAGAAACUUAUUUGCAGGAAGCUUCCAGCUGCAAAUACUUUGCCUUUGUACUACUCUGAGUUGAGCAGCUUUUGCUAGAACACUUUUCAGGUGACCGCUCACAGAGUUUGGUUUGGUCUUCAGGAUGAGACUGCAGCAAGUUCUGACCUUAAGCCUGGCAGUUGUGUGUGCUCUCUGAGCUCUCGUAUCAGUUCCUCUAAAUCUGCAGCUACCCAGACUUGGACGGCCACAGACUGCAGCAGAAAGCUCUUUUUUUAAAAAGUGAAGUCCACGAAGACUGGUUUGGGGGAAAGAACAUCAUCAACACUUUCUGCUUUGCCCCACAUCCAGGCACUGACUUUUGCACAACUGCUACAGCUACGUUCUUCCUUCAGUCACCCUUUUGCUCUCAGCAAGUUAGAUCCAAGCAGCAGGCAGACUGCCAACCACAGCUGGACACACCUUAUCUAAGGAAUCCUCCUUACAUGUUUAUAUUAAUUUCUGGUAAUUCACAAAAUAAACCACUGUUUUUGUAAA